AAGUGAGUUUGAUCCUGGCUCAGGGUGAACGCUUGCAGUAUGCCUAACACAUGCUAGUUUUAAAGUUUUUAAAACUUGGCGCACGGGUGAGUAAUAACUUUUUAUUUACCUUAAAUUUUAAAAUAAUAUGUGUGGUGUAUUUGUAUACAUUAUCAACAAAAUAUUAAAGGUUUAACACUGGUUUAAGAUAAUUGAAGUAUGGUAUUAAGUUGUUGGUUAGGUAACGGCUGACCAAGCUGAUGAUUCCUAACUGGUUAGAGAUAACGUGCCAGUCACAUUGGAACUGAGACAAUGUCCAAGCCUAAGCCAGCAGUGCGGAAUAUUGGACAAUGAGCAUUGCUUGAUCCAGCAAUACUGCUUAAAUGAGGAAAAUAUAAAAGAUAAAAGAGUAAUGAACUUCUUAUCGUUUGUAAAAUUUUAGACUUAAAAAAUGAUAAUGACGUUUUUUAAGAAAAAGCCCCGGCUAACCUCGUGCCAGCAGCCGCGGUAAUACGAAGGGGGCUAGCGUUGCUCGGAAUUACUGGGCGUAAAGGGAGCGUAGGCGGACUGUUAAGUUAGAGGUGAAAGCCCAGGGCUCAACCUUGGAAUUGCCUUUGAUACUGGCAGUCUUGAGUACGGAAGAGGUAUGUGGAACUCCGAGUGUAGAGGUGAAAUUCGUA
rnacentral:rRNA from 15 species